rnacentral:rRNA from 1 species
AUUGAACGCUGGCGGCAUGCCUUACACAUGCAAGUCGAACGGCAGCACGGGUGCUUGCACCUGGUGGCGAGUGGCGAACGGGUGAGUAAUACAUCGGAACAUGUCCUGUAGUGGGGGAUAGCCCGGCGAAAGCCGGAUUAAUACCGCAUACGAUCUACGGCUGACAGCGGGGGACCUUCGGGCCUCGCGCCAUAGGGUUGGCCGAUAGCUGAUUAGCUAGUUGGUGGGGUAAAGGCCUACCAAGGCGACGAUCAGUAGCUGGUCUGAGAGGACGACCAGCCACACUGGGACUGAGACACGGCCCAGACUCCUACGGGAGGCAGCAGUGGGGAAUUUUGGACAAUGGGCGAAAGCCUGAUCCAGCAAUGCCGCGUGUGUGAAGAAGGCCUUCGGGUUGUAAAGCACUUUUGUCCGGAAAGAAAUCCUUGGCUCUAAUACAGUCGGGGGAUGACGGUACCGGAAGAAUAAGCACCGGCUAACUACGUG